UAUGAGAUUGCGACAUAUCAGUAAAUGGCUGGUCAAUGGGAGUUCCUAAUAUUCCUUGUAUAAAUACCGAUUAUAGCUAUUGAAUAACACAAUUCGGAUGUAAAAAUAUCUUCUUUUCUCUAAAUUUCUAGAUUCUUCCAUCACCCGCCAUUGUCGGGAUUGGGUAUCAUUGUUGUGGUUGUUGUAAUUUACUUAGGGGGGAGGGAGUGGUCGCGGGGUGGGUUUUACCCGCUAGCGGCCCCCGCGGUAACACCGCCGCCACUAGUUUACCCCAUGAGAGAGAGAAGGAAAAUCGGGGAGCUUCACCAAUGGGGGGAAGGGAAGAGAGAAGAGAGAGGGAGGAGAGAGAAGAGGUGAUUGGUGGAUGGAGUUAGUGGGGGAUCCACUUCUUUUUUUAUAUAGUUUUAGUUUUUAUAGGUUAUUAAAUUAUGUGGUAAAUGAUGAGGUGGAGAUUGGGGGAUGUGGCGCCAGUGAUUUGGGAAAGAUGGGGAAAAUUGAGGAGAAUUAAGAAAAAUUGAGGUGGAAGGUUUUUAUUGGUUAGUGCUGGGGAAGAAGGGUGACCACUCCCUCCCCCUUAGAAUGUAGGACCAAUCCAUCAAUAGAUGGAGUGGUACUUGUUAUCAAUGCAACUUGGGCCCACAUGUGAAGUUGAGAGAUGCGGGUUCAAUCCUUGGGGAUGCCAAAUUGUGUGGGUAUUAAGUUAAGGUAUUUUACCGGCAUCAUAACCCUUACGGGGUGGGAGUGGGAUGAUGGAGAUCCAAUGUGUUUCCGGAGAGAGGGUGCCCUCCUUUACCCUUUACAUGGAAUGGCUUAUCAUCUACACCAUCUGAAGAUCUCAUAGUUUUCAGACAGGUUGUGGAGACCCCGUACAACUAUUACCAUCAACAGCGUUUCACUGAUUUCAAUAUCCCGCAAUUUCUGAAGGACAAAUUUCAAAAUGUUAAUCCGACACGAAUUCAAGCCUUGUGUCUCCCACUAAUACUUGAGCCAGCUCGAGAGAACCUGAUUGCCCAAGGGCAUAUUGGGUCUGGAAAAACCUUGACAUAUUUAUCAGCGAUGAUCAGUCAAGUUACUCUCAGUCUUCAGAAGGUUCAAUGCAUCUGUUUGGUCCCAAAUCAUGCUAUGAUAUCUCAGGAAUUUAGGACCGAAGAGGUUUUGAUUGAGAGCAUUAGUGCUACUAUCGAGGCUGAGAUUAACGAGUCUUAGGGUGCACAGGACUGGGAGAUUUGGCCAACGAGGAGUGGUGGUCAAUCUGAUCGUUAGCUCUCUAGACCAUACCACACUUGAAAACAUCGAGAGGCGCUUAGGUUUCAGUUGUACGGAGGUGCCAAGACCCUUUAUCUAUGAUCAACUGCCUUCUUUAAUGAAGGAGUAGGAAGGAAUAGGUUAGAUUGCUGUUGUGGACCUUAUGCAGUACCUAAAAACGAACGGUUGGGUCAAUAAACCUUUUGCUGUAAACAGUUAUUGUGCUUGUGCUAAGUUUUUUUCUAUUUCUAGGCUUACUAGAGUAGCUGAUGACAUGCUUACACUAGAGUAGCUAAUGACCUCGAUGCCUGUACUGUUAUUGGUUGAUGAUUUUGUAUGGCCUCCCUAUGAAACCUGUUUAUGGGAAGUGCAAUCCACAUCCAGAGAGUUACUUGCUUGAAUUGCUUUUAGCACCGUUAGUAUGGAUUGCUAUUAAUGAUAAAAUGGUUUAGUGUUUUUA